ensembl:lncRNA
GGGGAUGGAGCGCGAGCGGUGGGGAGCUCUGUUGGAGAGCGUCUCCGCAAUGGCGGCCGGUGGCUCGGUGGCCCUGCUCUGCCAAGCAGAGUGCCAGCCGCCCUUCGCCAGCAGGAGCUCUCCGGCGGCUGGGCUCGGCCUGGUGGGGGGGGGGGUCUUGGAAGGGAGGAGGAGGAGAGAAAUGAGCGGAAUCUUCCCGCGUUGGGAACCGCAGCCCGCCGGUGACACUCCGACUCGUCUCGACGAGAAGUGAGUGUGAAGUGUCGGCGGCGAACGCGCUCCUCCUCCGGCCUGCGGGAGACACGACGUGCCGCGAUGUGUCUCCUGACUCAGCCGUGCUUUUUUCUUUUUUUUGCUCCCCAUCACAUCCACACACGCGGUCCACUCACAUACAGCAGCCGCAUCGAGACGAUCGUUGCGGGGGAAAUAUAUUUAACUACGUGAGUCGGCGACGCACCCGUUCCGCUAUUCUCUCCGUCAGUAUUUCGGGCUGAGGGGAACCACUUCCCCGCGGCGCUCCAUCUACACCGACAUCAACAGGUCAUUCCGGGACAAAUGCAGCAGCAGCGGGGGGGUGAGGCAGACGGAACCAGCGCGGAGCGCGCGGGGGGGGGGCGUUGCGAGUCGCGACACAACACACGACUUGAAGCACUUGACUGUCGCGCGCGAGUGAUGCCCACUCGUCUCUAAAAUCAUCUUCCGAACUCCACUGCCGAAAUGGAGCAUGCAUAUUUAAUUAACAUAAUGAAAGUUUUUCGUAGCUACGUUGUUCCUAAGUACUCGCAAGCUGCGGCUGCUGGAGGCCGGGUGCGAGGAAGCCGGGAAGUGGUUAAAGUUUUGUUGGUGUCGUUCCUGCGAGCCCAUCCCCCAUCACACACACCUUCCCCAAAACAAUACCCCCAAAAAAUCUCUCCCGAUCGACCCGAUUUGGGCUCGGCCGCCGGGCCACCGAGCCAAAGCCGCCCUUCCAGACUGGGCCACAGUAACCUACCCACGAUCGACCCCGAGGGAAUAGCGCGAAAGACGGCGGCCAUUCAUUGUGAGCAAAGGCACAACGCCGAGUGCAGAAUCAUCGAGCGCAUCACACGAAGAGGAUGCAGAGCGCAGAGUCCCCGACCGACAGACCAGUACCCCCAUCCCUCUAAUAUAAUGUCAAGAGUUUUUGGGUAUUUGUGAGAAUCAGCUGUUCUUAGUGACCGCAACAGAACACACACACACACACAUUUUCUGAACCGCUUGUCCCAUACGGGGUCGCGGGGAACCGGAGCCUAACCCGGCAACACAGGGCGUAAGGCCGGAGGGGGAGGGGACACACCCAGGACGAAACGCCAGUCCGUCGCAAGGCACCCCAAAUGGGACUCGAACCCCAGACCCACGGGAGAGCAGGACCCGGUCCAACCCACUGCACCACCGCGCCCCCUACCGCAACAGAACCCACUUCUUAUUUCGUGUGUAAACGGUUGUUAGUCGAAGAUACAUACAAUAUCCAUCGGCAACAACUGCUUGUCCUGAGCGGGCUCAUGGUGAGCCGGAGCCUUACCCGCCAGCACAGGGCGCAAGCACAGGGUGCUAGGCCGAAGGGGAGAGAAAACACCCUGGGCGGGACGCCAGUCCAUCGCAAGACACCCCAAGCAAUACUCGAACCCCAGACCUACCGCGCCCCCAUAUGUCGAAUAAACUAUGUUAAAUGCCUCCA